GACGAACGCUGGCGGCGUGCUUAACACAUGCAAGUCGAACGAGUGGCGAACGGGUGAGUAAUACGUGAGUAACCUGCCCUCUUUUUGGGAUAAGCCUUGGAAACGGGUUCUAAUACCGAAUAAAGGGGGAUGGGCUCGCGGCCUAUCGGGUUGUUGGUGGGGUGAUGGCCUACCAAGGGGGUGACGGGUAGCAGGCCGGGGAGGGUGACAGGGCGAAUUGGGACCGGGACACGGCCCAAAGUCCUACGGGAGGCGGCAGUGGGGGAUAUUGGACAAAGGGCGAAAGCCUGAUGCAGCGACGCCGGGUGGGGGAUGAAGGCUUUCGGGUUGUAAACCUCUUUCGAGAUCGAGGGGGUAGGUGGAGAAGAAGCGCCGGCUAACUACGUGCCAGCAGCCGCGGUAAUAC
rnacentral:rRNA from 1 species